UGUAGGAGCUGCCGGAGGCUGCGAUCUUUUGACUUUGAUUUUCAAGAUCAAAAGAUCGCAGCCUUCGGCAGCUCCUACA
rnacentral:misc_RNA from 1 species